UACGGGGGGGGCAAGCGUUGUUCGGAAUUACUGGGCGUAAAGGGCUCGUAGGUGGCCAACUAAGUCAGACGUGAAAUCCCUCGGCUUAACCGGGGAACUGCGUCUGAUACUGGAGGGCUUGAGUUCGGGAGAGGGAUGCGGAAUUCCAGGUGUAGCGGUGAAAUGCGUAGAUAUCUGGAGGAACACCGGUGGCGAAGGCGGCAUCCUGGACCGACACUGACACUGAGGAGCGAAAGCCAGGGGAGCAAACGGG
rnacentral:rRNA from 1 species